rnacentral:misc_RNA from 1 species
AAGUCGUAACAAGGUAACCGUAGGUGAACCUGCGGUUGGAUCAUUAAAAAAUCUAACAAAAAAAGGCUCUUUCGAAAGAAAGCUAGGCUCUUUUUUUAACAUUUUUGUGCACUGUAAAUUUAAUUAUCUAGCGGGGGUAUAUUUUAUAGGCUAAAAGUAGUUUAAUUUUUUAGGCUUAGGUUAACUUUUGUUAAUUUAGGCUGAAGAAAUUAAAUUAUUUAGGCUGGAGUUUAAAAAAAGAUUAGGCUACGUUAAUUUUAUUAGCGUAAACUAAAAUUUAUUUAAGCUUUACCCGCUAGUUAAAUUUUUAAACUUAUAUAUUUUUAUUAGCCUUUAGAUUAAAAUUUUAAAAAGUUUAACUUAAAAAAAUAACUUUUGACAACGGAUCUCUAGGCUCUC